rnacentral:rRNA from 1 species
AGUAACGCGUGAGGAACCUGCCUUUCAGAGGGGGACAACAGUUGGAAACGACUGCUAAUACCGCAUGACGUGUGAUGGGGGCAUCCCUGACACACCAAAGAUUUUAUCGCUGAAAGAUGGCCUCGCGUCUGAUUAGCUAGUUGGUGAGGUAACGGCCCACCAAGGCGACGAUCAGUAGCCGGACUGAGAGGUUGGCCGGCCACAUUGGGACUGAGAUACGGCCCAG